UCAUGGAAAAUUCUUAAAGUUUAGUGGUACUAUACCUCAGUUUUAUCAGGUGUUAUUUAAAAUCACCUGGAAAUACUGAGGUUAUGUUUCACUGAACAUCAACUUCGUGUCUCCCAC
rnacentral:pre_miRNA from 14 species